CUGUAUCAAGAAACGAUAAAAACAGAACAAAUUUAACAAAAUCGUUCCAUUUCACCUAAUGACAAAAUCUAAAAUAGCAAUUUUCAUCUCUGGUUCUUCGUCGUUUCGUCGUUUCGUCGUUUCUCGAAUCAACGAUGAGGAACAAUUUUUAACCCAAACCUCGACAUUUGAAGACGGUGCCUCAUGUUCUCUCUCUUCCUCUCUCUCUCGCUCAAACGACGCCAUGUCGCCGGUGAAAUCUGCCUCUCUCCUUCUCGCUCAAACGACUGCCCUUCUGUGUCUCUCUCUCGCUUAAACGACUCCAUGGCUCCGGUGAACCUGGUCUCCGACUCUCUCUUGCUGAAACGUCUCCAUUGCUCUGGUAAAGCUGCAGCAGUAGCUCCGGUGACUCUCUCGCCGCCCAAACGACUCCAUAAUACUCUCUGGAACUCGGGAUAGAGAGAAAAGACGAGGAGAAUCCAGAGGGUUUUGAGAGGUUUUACAUAGGGUUUUGGUUCCUCGCUUCUACAGGUACGAUUUUGGUAAUUUAUGUUGUAAUUUUAAGGAUUAGUUUUGUCCAAAAAAAAUUUCUUUAUUAUGGACGCCAUUUUUUGGCUCCUUUAUUGAGUCGAUCUUUAGGUAUUUUAAGUGCAGAAGAGGUGGAUUUUGCUCUGAAUUUUAUUUUAUUUUAGUGUUUUUUUUUUUUUAAUCUGUAAUGUUGUUCUGAUCAUGCCCAGAAAAGGGGUUUGCUCCGAAUUUUCGUCUCUGUUUAAUCUAUGUUCUCACUGAUCUUUGGGUAUUUUAACCCAUCCAUCAUGCAUUACAUUAUCCAGCCUGGAGCUUAACUUGCAUGUUGGAUUCUUACUCUGAAGCUUAACUUGCAUGCCUGGAGCUGCUUUCGUAAUUUUUGUGAAAUUUUGAGUCGAUGUUUGGCUAUUUUGAGCCGAUCUUUGGCAGUCUCAGGUGCUAGUGCAAUAGGGUGCAUUGCUAGUGUAUGUGGAUGUCAAUAAUGUAAUGCAUGAUGGAUGAGUAGGCAUGAGUUUCUUCUCCAUAUUGUCCUUGAUCCUCUGUGUUUCCCUCACUGGUUAUGCAAUAUCCAGUUCAUUCCAGCUUAUUAAGUGGGUAGUCUCUGGGAUUCAGACUGCAGACCGGGUUCAAUGCUCAUCUUCAGCUCCAACUAAAUGCUAAUAAGGCUCUUUUUGCAUCGUGAGAGUCCAAACAUCCAUAGAUCGGCAUCAUUAUUUUAGUUAGGAUAUGUAGCCCUAUUGGUAUAUUUACCCUUUUGGUUAACUAAUUCCCCCAUCUCAAUAGAAAUUAAUCUCCACAACUUUGGGGAAUUGCUUUACUAACUACCCCCAUCACAAUAUGAAUCAAUGUUGCUGUACCUUUAGACCUGCUUGAGAGUCUUAACCUUUCCUGCAUUAGCAAUAGAAUAGUGGGCACACUAUUCCCUUUGGAAUCAUAAGAGCACUGCAUUGAUUCUGCAGAGACACCAAAUACACUAGCUUGCACAAAGAUUAUAUUUCAGGUUUGACUAUUGCAAGGAAAUAUCAUAGCACAAAUUAUGUUACUUUGCAUUGUAUUUUAUGGAUAAAUCUCUUUAAUACGAACCUUUUUUCUGGUUUAAAUGUUCAGAAAACUGCAACCCACAGAGAUAGUGUUAUUAGGCUGGUUAAUGUGUUUUGGUCCGUGGAGGUAGCAACAUUCUUAACAAAUCAAUAGGGGACUAUGCUAGUGUAUGUGAUGUCAAUAAUGUAAUGCAUGAUGGAUGGGUUGACAUGUGUAUGUAUGUAGGCAUUGUAAACAAUAAUUUCCUAUACCCACUAGCAGAUUUCUUUCUUCAUUCCUUCACUUCCUCUUUACAUCUCUUCUUCUCUCUUCAAAGAAGCCAUGGCCUUCACUGCUGUUUGGUUUAUUUGGGUUAUGUUCUUUUCUUCUUGGCUAUGGAGUCCAUGUUGAAGCCUCUCACAAGGUUUUCUUAAACCUUCAAUCUUAUCAUAACAGUAUUCCAGCAACCCAGCAACCUUAUGGAAUUGGCUACCAUCUCUGACCAGCCAAAAACUGGAUCAAUGGUAACCUUUUUUUCAUUUUCAAUUUUUCUUCUCCUCCUCCUCUUUUGUAGCUUUUACUUUCUUUUAACUAACUUUUGAUUUAUAUUGUGGGCAUGUCUGUGAUUCUGUGAUGGACUCAUGGGUAUCUUUGGAUAAACAAAUCCUAAUGGCUGCACUAGUGUAUGAGAAGAUAAGAAUACUGAAAAGCGUUAUUGAAGUUUUUGAGGAAAAGUGAAAGAUAUUUACAAAUAUCCCUGAUGCAGUUAACAAGUUAGAUCUAAACAAAGGUGACAGUUAGAUCAAGUAGGAAAAUUAACUAUUGUUCAAGACAUUUGACAUAUUGUGAAUGUAAUAACAAUAUAAUGUUUUUAGAUUAAUUUAUAGUAGUUAAAAAUGAUGAUAUACGAUAAAGUGUACAAGGUUUUCCUGUUUUGAAAAUGGUGUUGGACCAAAUGGUUAUGAUUUCCUUUUAAAUUAAAUAAAUAUGAUGUUUUAUAUUGUUUUAAACAA